rnacentral:rRNA from 2 species
GCAUAUCAAUAAGCGGAGGAAAAGAAAAUAACAAUGAUUUCCCUAGUAACGGCGAGUGAAGAGGAAAGAGCUCAAAGUUGGAACCUGUUUGGCUUAGCUAAACCGGAUUGUAAACUGUAGAAACAUUUUCCAGAUACACUAGACAAAAAAGUCCUUUGGAACAGGGCAUCAUAGAGGGUGAGAAUCCCGUCUUUGGUCUAAGUAGUUGUCUAUUGUGAUAUGUUUUCAAAGAGUCAGGUUGUUUGGGAAUGCAGCCUAAAUUGGGUGGUAAAUCUCACCUAAAGCUAAAUAUUUGCGAGAGACCGAUAGCGAACAAGUACCGUGAGGGAAAGAUGAAAAGAACUUUGAAAAGAGAGUUAAACAGUAUGUGAAAUUGUUAAAAGGGAACCGUUUGGAGCCAGAUUGGCUUGAUUGUAAUCAACCUAGAAUUCGUUUUGGGUGCACUUGCAGUCUAUGCCUGCCAACGACAGUUUGAUUUGGAGGAAAAAAUUAAUAGGAAUGUGGCCUUUCGAGGUGUUAUAGCCUAUUAUCAUACUCUGGAUUGGACUGAGGAACGCAGUGAAUGCCUUUAGGCAAGAUUGCUGGGCGCUUUCGCUAAUAAAUGUUAGAAUUUCUGCUUCGGGUGGUGCUAAUGUUUAAAGGAGGAACUCGUUUAGUAUAUUUUUUAUUCGCUUAGGUUGUUGGCUUAAUGACUCUAAAUGACCCGUCUUGAAACACGGACC